GUAUGUAGGAUGACUUGAUAGGAAAAUCCAUUGAGUUAUAUCUGAGGUAUGAUAUACAGUCGUAAGAUGAAUGCGCAAAUCCCACGCUGCCAAGAAAAGCUUCUAACGUUAAUAUUUGACUGCCCGUACUGCAAACCGACACAGGUGGUCAGGAUGAGAAAUCUAAGGCGGACAGGCUAACUCUCGUUAAGGAACUCUGCAAAAUAACCUCGUAACUUCGGGAGAAGAGGAGCCCUUGAGGGUCAGUAUCCACGCGAUACAAAGCGCUCGAGGGUCGCAGUGAAGAGGCUCAAGCAACUGUUUAACAAAAACACAGGUCUAUGCUAAGCUGGAAGGCGAUGUAUAUGGGCUGACACCUGCCCAGUGCUGGAAGGUUAAGAGGAGGAGUGAGAGCUCCGAAUUGAAGCCCCAGUGAACGGCGGCCGUAACUAUAACGGUCCUAAGGUAGCGAAAUUCCUUGUCGGGUAAGUUCCGACCUGCACGAAUGGUGUAAUGAUC
rnacentral:rRNA from 1 species